UGGGUCAGAAACACAAUCGCGGGGACUGGCUCAAAAGACAAAUUGACAGUUUUUUGAGCCAGUCUCCGAGGAAAGUCUGGACUUUGUAGGGCAAGACGCCUCCUAACAGGAGGGCAGGGUAACCUGACGGAAAGUGCCACAGAAAAUACACCGCCGAUGGACUUUUGUCACAGGUAAGGUUGAAAUUGUGCGGUAAGAGCGCACACUAGGCAUAGUGAUAUGUCUUGCGGUAAACCCCGUUUGAAGCAAGCUCAAAUAGGAGAAGAGAGUCGGCCCGGCUCUAUGAAUUCUCGGGUAGAGUGCUUGAGCGUAUAUGCAAAUAUAGGCCUAGAUAGAUGAUUGUGCGUCUUUGUUAUGAAGACCGACAGAAUCCGGCUUACUUCUGACCCACAUU
rnacentral:RNase_P_RNA from 1 species